CCCUUCUAUCUGAAGCCUGGCAAGGGAGGUAUGUGGAUCCCACCAGAAGUUAAAAUGGGUCCUGGUCUCACAGCGGAGGGGGGGCAUGUGAGCUUGUUGCAGAGCUGCUGCUCCGGGACAGGAAUCUCCUGGCACACCAGCCUCCAAAAUCAUCCAGGCUUCACUUUCUGCACGACUAGGUGCUGGCUGAGGGGGCCGUGGGAAUUGUUGGCCUCUGCUGCAGGUGACGGGAAUCGCAG